UACGAAGGGGGCUAGCGUUGUUCGGAAUUACUGGGCGUAAAGCGCACGUAGGCGGAAUGUUAAGUCAGGGGUGAAAUCCCGGGGCUCAACCCCGGAACUGCCUUUGAUACUGGCAUUCUCGAGUCCGGAAGAGGUGAGUGGAAUUCCGAGUGUAGAGGUGAAAUUCGUAGAUAUUGGGAAGAACACCUGUGGCGAAGGCGGCCCCCUGGUUGGAUACUGACGCUGAUACGCGAAAGCGUGGGGAGCAAACAGG
rnacentral:rRNA from 1 species